GAAUUUUGAUAGACUAAUAUUUGUGGUUUUGUAUUUUGAAUUAUACUAUGAGAUGCAUGUAUUGCAUCUAUUUUAUCCAUUUUAACUAAUUUCACUUCUCAUUUAUAUGUUUUUAUUGUAUAAUAGACUCUAACUGUUAAUUACCUGCUAAAAUACUUAAAUUCUCAUUUACGUAAUUUUUCAUUUGUGAGGCUUAUGCCUUCACAGCGCCUUGAGGCUUACACCUCGCCUCACAGAUGAAAAAUGCCUUAAGGCUUAUUUAUGCAAUUUUAAACCUUGAUGCUACUAUAACUCGUCCGAUAUUGCCUUCGCCGUCAAUUCACUUUGUCAGCAUAUGCAUUAUACUCUUUCCCAACAUUUUCUUCUAUUAAAAUGCUUCCUCAGAUAGCUUCAAUGAACUAAUGACUUUGGUCUUCCCAUCUUCAAAUCAAAUCUCCAACUAACUUUGCCGAUGCCGAAUGGGCCAUUGAUCCUGCUACCCGCCACUCCACCUCCGGAUAUUGUAUAUACCUCAGUAACACCCUCAUCUCCUGGACAGUGAAGAAGCAAAAAAACUAUUGCGUGGUCCUCCAUAGAAGCAGAAUACAAAUCAUUGGCCACGGCAUCAGACGUAAUUUGGCUUCAACGCCUUCUCUUAGACUUUCAUAUCUCCUCUACCGAGCCAACAGUCAUCCAUUACGACAACACACCGGCCAUUGCUCUCGCCCACAAUCCGAUUUUUCAUGCUCACACGAAGCACAUCGAAGUAGAUUGCCAUUUUAUAAGAGAUCAUAUUCAAUCUGGUGAAAUUACCAUCGUUUCAAUCAGCACGACUGAUCAAAUUGCAAAUAUUCUAACCAAAUCUCACCCUACUUCAAUAUUUAAAUUGCUACAAUCCAAACUAACGAUUCAAUCACCAUCGUCAGUUUGCAGGGGAAUAAUAACAGCUCAGCAAUCAAGUUCAAGAAAGGCAGCUAUCUCAACUAGCACGGCUAAGAGGACAUAAUGCAUUACCCAACAAACUCCACCUAUUAUAUCAUCACAUUUGUAACUCUAUAGUUCUAUAAAUAUAGCCUGUUGUACAGUAAAUAGAUAUGCAUAAUUUAGUUUCAUUGAAAUGGAAAGUCCUCUGCUUAUAUUCUUGCUUUAGAUGUAUAGGGAUCUCUUUAGGAACUUUGAUGUGAGUGAGCAAAUCCAAGCACAUUACUUGCUGAAGAUAAAAUAUGAAAAUUUUUGAUUGAGAAUUCUCAGGUGGAGCAUAUCCCAAGAGAGAAGAACAAGCUGGUUAAUCUCUUAGCAAAAUUUGGGAAUCCCCACACAACGGCUUUAAGGAAACUGCUGGGCGUGUAUGUCUAUCCUGCUUGGUCUAUUCGGUGCUAUACAAAAUGCUUUCUACAAUGGUUUGCAGAGGAAUCACUUCAUAUGAAGCCUGAAAAAAUCACUUUGUUGACAACAAGCUAACCUCACCACUUUUUACUUCCAUGAGUUCUGGACGGGUAUGUCUAUCCUGAUACUACUCACUAGCUAGGUUAGAAACCGCUUCAUAUUCGUGAACAGAUCUUCUUUAGCUUGUUAUAUAAAUAAACUAAACAUAAUCUCUCGCUAGACGAGCUAAAUUGGUUAAUACUUGAGCUCUCUCAAGCUCUACUCUUUAUACACCGCAGGAAGGGACGUUAAUUUUUUAUUCAUUUCAACUGUAGCAGAGCAUAUUUAUUAAUUUUGCUUAUAAAUAGAAAUGUAUCUUUUUUUCUCAAGUGUAGCUUACAACGUAUGUCUAACUUUUGUUUAAAUUGAACUGGAAUCAUUAUCUUUAUUAAUUUUUUGAACUUACUCCGCACAUUGGCUUGAACAAAGACAAUUGAUAAAUAGGCGAGGGAAGUGUGUUACUUUAAGACACCAUAAGAUAUGUAUGUAAUGCACUACUAAAUACAUACAUUAUAAAUUAUGAAACAAACUGAAAACAAAUAUAUUAACUCGAUAAUACUAUGCAUAUAAGGAUGAACUUAGUAUGAGUGAUUAAAUAAAUUAAGCACCAAUGUAGUAGAUCAACUGGACUUCAAAACCUAAGAGUAAAUAAACUCUCUCUUACAAUAAGUUUCCAUAGUAUUUUCAAUAGUGAUGAAGAUGUUGAUAUUGUUAUGCUAAUGAGUAACGAUCAAUUUAGGACAUCAACAUAAAUGUUACUCUAAAACAUGCCAUAUAAAAAUUCAAUAUUUGAAUCAUCAUAAUAACAUUUCAAAUGAGAUUUUGACUUUUAACAUGA